CCCGCUCAGAAACUUAAAGGAAGUUGACGGGGCCGCGACAAGCGGUGGAGUAUGUGGUUUAAUUCGAUGCAACGCGAAGAACCUUACCUGGUCUUGACAUCCCGGAGACCCUUAGGAACUAGGGGUGCUUCCAUCUGGAAGAAUCUGGAGACAGGUGCUGCAUGGCUGUCGUCAGCUCGUGUCGUGAGAUGUUGGGUUAAGUCCCGCAACGAGCGCAACCCUUGCCUUUAGUUGCCAGCAGUUCGGCUGGGCACUCUAAAGGGACUGCCGGUGUUAAACCGGAGGAAGGUGGGGAUGACGUCAAGUCCUCAUGGCCUUUAUGACCAGGGCUACACACGUACUACAAUGGCCGAUACAAAGGGCAGCGACACUGCGAGGUGAAGCCAAUCCCGUAAAAUCGGUCUCAGUCCGGAUUGGAGUCUGCAACUCGACUCCAUGAAGUUGGAAUCGCUAGUAAUCGUGGAUCAGCAUGCCACGGUGAAUACGUUCCCGGGCCUU
rnacentral:rRNA from 1 species